rnacentral:misc_RNA from 1 species
CGCAUGCGCCCCUCCUGCUCGUCCUCCGGGUCACCUCCGUCGCAGCACAGCGGCGCGAGCACCAGCGCUACCUCGUCGACGCACUCGUCGAAUCGGAAGCGUGCGCGGCCGGGCGAUGGCAUGUCAGAGCCGACAACACGGUCACGCGCCGCAUCCGACGAUGCAACGCAAGUGCGGCAUACGGAAAGAGGUGGGUUAGGGCACAGCUCCAAGGAUGCCCAAUGCCCACUCAUCACACCUGCGCCUCCCUCUGCUGCAUUAGCCCGCCGCUGCGAGGAGCCGCAGAGGCGACGGCCGCACACGGCAGAUACGGCAGACAUGGCAGACAGCAGUAUCGCCAUCCCCACCGUCAGCGAGGAGAACUCAGUCGGUGGUCAUCCUCCCCGCUUCUCGUCGCCCCCCUCUGCCCAACCGACUCCAGCCUCGGCGUUGCUCCCGCCAUCCCUGCCGUGUCAGUCCCGUGUGGCCUCCGGUGAUCCCCCGACCCACAACGCAGCUGCUGCGCAUCAUGCUGCAGAUGCGCCCGCAUUAUCCCUGUCCGGGAAGACCGCACACGUCAGCUCCAACAGCCGCCGCGACUUCGUCGUUAUGCUCAACCACAAGCGCAUGAUCGUCCCUGCCGAGCAUCCAUUUCUUAUUCCUCGUGCUCUGUUUGCCCCGCGCGCCGCGAAGGCAGCCGCGGAAGACGGCCGGAGCGCUACCGGUGCCUGCGACGUCGGCGACUGUGUUGUCGCCGCUGAAGGUGCUGCGUCUCGCCCGUUGCACUGCUACGGUGACCGGCCAGUGCUGCUGCUUGACUGCACCGGCGCGCUGCUACAGCGCCGCCAGCGCCGUCAGCGUCGGCAAGAGCUGCAGUCACGUGCCUCGCAGUUAGUCGCGGCACGCGCAGACCUCCUUAGGACAAAAAACCUGUGGUCCAUGCGACGCAUUCGGGCGCGGCGGCAGAACAAAGAGCUGAGCGCCCCAGUAUCCGCGGUGGGCGACGCUGGAGGUGAUGCGGGCAGGGGCAGUGGAGACUCCACUGCCCGUGCUCCUUCCGGUGCAGCGGAGGGUGGUGACUCCACGAGCCACCUCCUGUCGGAGCUGUCGCGCCAACGCAAGGCUAUCACGCACGAAAUGAAAGAGAUCCGUCGCGAGUUGCUGACGCUCUUACAGGAAAAACGCAAGCAGGCAGCCACGCGUGACGGCUGCGUGCUGAUGCUGCCUUCACCGGAGACGGGAGAAGUGCAGCUGUUCCCGGGACAUCACUACCGCACCGUAUGUUUUGUAGGCGACGAGCUGCGUGAGGUACUCCCGAGCGACGCGGACGUGGCGACGGCGCACCAUUGGCAGCAUCGCACCCCGCCGCUGCGGAAGCUGGCAUCCGAGGGGGUUGCACGUGAGCUCUCUGGGAAUGAUGAGGGUGGCGCUGAAGGCGAGCACACGUCGGCCAAAAUGGCCGAGCGACCUCUUUGGGCCAUGGCAGAGCUGUUGGGCUACGUUCUUUACCUGCGUCAGUGCCGCAGAAACCCGCACUAUCGCUCCCGCCGCGGCGCUACAUUCGACGACGACAGCAUCGAGUGUCAGGAAGGGCGCGAGGGGCGCGUUGACUUCGACAAGAUCGCGGCGUCCAUCAGCUACGACAUGGUAGACCAAUACCUCGCCCUUCCCGCGUGUGAGAUGGCGAUGUAUCGGGAGUGGGCCAUCGAUAAAUUCAAGCUGCUGCCACCACAGUAGUGCUCCCCAGGCCUGCCUCGUUGAUUGCUACGCGCGUACGUGCGCGUGCGUGUCUCCGCGCAACUUCUCCUACGCGGUUGGGCCACAGGGAGAGAGAGUCUUCUGCCGCCCACGAGCGCUUGAAACACACAGACACUCCCACAACCUGGUGCGCUGGCUGUGUUGUUGUGGAACCGGAUGAGCAGGGAGAGGGGAGCAGGGGGCGGUGCCGCGUACUUGACGUCUCCUGUGCUACUGG